rnacentral:rRNA from 1 species
GACGAACGCUGGCGGCGUGCUUAACACAUGCAAGUCGAACGGAAAGGCCCUGCUUUUGUGGGGUGCUCGAGUGGCGAACGGGUGAGUAACACGUGAGUAACCUGCCCUUGACUUUGGGAUAACUUCAGGAAACUGGGGCUAAUACCGGAUAGGCGCUCCUGCUGCAUGGUGGGGGUUGGAAAGUUUCGGCGGUUGGGGAUGGACCCGCGGCUUAUCAGCUUGUUGGUGGGGUAGUGGCUUACCAAGGCUUUGACGGGUAGCCGGCCUGAGAGGGUGACCGGCCACAUUGGAACUGAGAUACGGCCCAGACUCCUACGGGGGGCAGCAGUGGGAAUAUUGCACAAUGGGCGGAAGCCUGAUGCAGCAACGCCGCGUGCGGGAUGACGGCCUUCGGGUUGUAAACCGCUUUCGCCUGUGACGAAGCGUGAGUGACGGUAAUGGGUAAAGAAGCACCGGCUAACUACGUG